rnacentral:rRNA from 1 species
GACAGAGGGACCUAGCGUUGUUCGGAUUUACUGGGCGUAAAGGGUGCGUAGGUGGUUGUUUAAGUAGAGUGUUAAAUCCCCAGGCUUAACCUGGGAGUCGCAUUCUAUACUGGACGACUAGAGUAUGGGAGAGGAAAGUGGAAUUCCUAGUGUAGAGGUGGAAUUCGUAGAUAUUAGGAGGAACACCAGAGGCGAAGGCGGCUUUCUGGCCCAUAACUGACACUGAGGCACGAAAGCGUGGGGAGCAAAC